CUGACACAUCCCUGCCAAUCUCCGGCAGACCCUCCCACCUCCUGGACAGCAUCCAUGUUGAAGCUGCCUUCAACACGGAUGCUGUCCAGGAAGUAGGAGGGUCUGCCGGAGAUUGGCAGGGAUG